rnacentral:lncRNA from 10 species
AGGCCCAGACCCACAGAGACAACGAUGAUGGCCACAGCUAAGAUGAUCCAGAAAUUAUUCCUCCACCAGCUCAUUGCAGUGGAAUCCUGAGAAGAAUGGAGAGAGAAGAAUGAGCUUCUUGCAUGACUGCCUGAAAUCCGCCUCCUGUCAGAUCAGCAGGGGCAUUGGAUUAUGAUAGGAGUGAGAACACCAUUGUGGACUGCGCAUGCCAGGGAUCUAGGUUCCGCGCUCCUUAUGAGAAUCUGAUGCCUGAUGAUCUGUCACUGUCUCCCAUCACCCCCAGAUGGGACUGUCUAGUUGAAGAAAAACAAGUUCAGGGCUCCCACUGAUGCUACGUUACGGUGAGUUGUAUAAUUAUUUCAUUAUAAUUACAAUGUAAUGAUAAUAGAAAUAAAGGGCACAAUAAAUAU